rnacentral:lncRNA from 1 species
UAAGAUAUUGGAUUACAAUUUUAAGAGUUUUAGAGCCCAGUUCUUGGCCCAAUUCGAAUUAGUCCAUUAAGCCUAGGGACCAUUCUAGACUCUUCUUUGGAAUAAAAAUAAAUAAAAAAGACCCUAAGGACCUAAUACACUAGGACUAAUGAGCAAAAAAACAAAUAUAACCCUAGACCCUAUACCUACAAAAGCUAAGGCUAAUCAGCAAAAAGAAGGGAGAAAAAAAAAUAAUGCUGGGAGAAUUGAAAAGAGAAAAAGCUGCGCAGCCUUUCAAAAUGACCCACCCCUCGGAUCGUUUCUUCACCUCUACCCACCCCAAACGACCCCUGCUGCUUCACCAUUGUUAGCAUCUUGAGACCUCACCCCAACGACCUCCCUCCCUAGAAAAGUCUGCAGUAACUGGUGUUCCCAGUUCCGCCAUGAACGACCACCCUUGAGCCGAGUAGACGCUGCUACUUCUUCCGCUUUUUCCAUUCACAAUAGCACCGGUAAAUCCCCAAAAUACACAAUCCGCCAUAGAGACUACAUACAGACCCCCAUCAGAUUUAUUUUCUUCUUCACCAUAUGAAGAUACCUGAACCUUAGCACCCAAAAAUAGCGAGACACUCUACAUGUGAUAGAUCUGGCCGUAUUUUGAAAGAAAAAAAUGAACAGACCCCCAUGGUUCUCUCUUCGAUGCAACUUCAGCCAUAACACACACCAUGGUAUUCUUCCUCAUUGAAACAUAAAACCAACAAACCUAUUUUCCAUAAAGCCUAAGCUUCUUCUUUUUCAUUGACAACUUGAAAAACCCUAGAGAAUCCUCACCCAGCAUCCCACCCAAUCAGCAACACAUCAGAAGAGACACGGUUGGAUCUCUUUCUUCUUCGAUUUUCACGAGUCAAUGGCGAAAGCUCUCUGGCCGCUGCUGUUUCUUCAUCAUCCUCACGUCAAUUAUCGCACCCUUGAAACCAGAGAGUGUAAAAAACUAAAUGUAAAAGCUGGACAACCAAUUGGAGUGCACGUCUAACAUAGCAGUCACUCUUGAUAAGAUGGAACAUAGGUGAAGUUUUAUCUGAAAAUUUCCAUUGGCAUGGUCACUCUCGAUGACGCUUAUCAUCGUGGUUUAAACCGCAGAGAGAGGUCGUCCGAUCAGAGGUUCAUUAAGGGUCUAUGAAGAGAUUACUUCGGUCCACGUCCUGUUUUGAUUUUGCUAUUGGAAUUUCUGUUCAGAAUUUUGUUAAGAAUUCUAUUCGAGAUUAUUUUAGGUUCGUCUCUCUGUUUAUUUUCUUUCUCUAUUUUGGCGAUUCAAUGAACACUCUUACAUUGGGCUAUUGAAUGGGUGCAUUUUGUAUGAGUGAUCCUAUUAGGUUCUGUUAUUUAUAGUAAAUAGACAAUUUGUUACUAUUUGAGCGAAGUUCCGUCAAUUAACGAGGGCAGCAUGAUAUCUUCAUUUUUGUUGGAUUUUUCUUUAUUUAGAACUCAAUGAAUUGGAAAGUUAAAUAGGUGAAGGUUGUAUAAACUGUUUACAAUUUAACUCGUGCUAAGAUUAUUCACAAAAUGUGAGUGUUGGAUUAUAUUAAAAAGGAUAUUGGAUUGAUUAUAUCGGCAUGAAACCAUUUAGUUGUGUUAGCUUUGAAUUGAAAGGAAUCGAGGUGUGUUGUGCCGAAUAAAAUCACAAAAUGCAUGGCCCUUAUGACAUUGAUGUUGAAUAUCUAAAUCUUUAGAAAUCUUGGCGUGCCAUUUAGUUGAAUUUUUCAUGGUCCUCGCUAAGUAGAAAGUGCGUAGUUGCUUUAGGCGCGCUAUUUUUAUAAUUUACCUUCCUAAACUUGGGUGCGCAUUUUUGUGACCCAAACCCAAAUCUCAACAACAUUUAAUUAAAUAUGUUGCGGACUGCGGGUGCAUUUAUGUGAUGUUGUUCAAGAUAUAUUUUAAAUGACAUUGCAAUUUUUCCUAAAAAUGAUUAAAAACGGUAGAUAAAUCUAAAAAUGCACAUAGGUUAAAACAUGUACAAAAUAAGAUAAUAGGCCAACUAUAACAGUUGAGCGACCAUGCUAGAACUACGGAACUCGGAAAUGCCUAACACCUUCUUUCGGGUUAACAAAAUUCCUUACCCAGAUUUUUGGUUUACAGACUGUAAAAUAGAGUCAAACGUUUCCUCGAUUCGGAAUUUAAACCGGUGACUUGGGACACCAUAAAUCAUCCCAAGUGGCGACUUUGAACUUUAAUAGAUAUAAUCAAUUUCAAUUUUCCUUUAAUUGAAAAAAAUAUCUUAUACUCCCUUUACAGGGAUGUAUGAAAAAGGAGAUGUGACAGCUCUGGCGACUCUGCUGGGUACAAGAACCUAGAAUCUCUGGUUCAGGGUUCAGAAUUCGAGCUUAGAUAAAUUGUUAUAUUUGACUUUAUCUAUUAUAUGAUUUUAUUAUAUGUUUGAGCUUAACGUGCCAAAUGACGCUUUUACCGCUUGGGUAUUAUUUGAAUUGUAUAUAAACUGCUAUGAAAUUCUUCUCUUCUCAUCUUCGGGGAUUUGCUCGCUGGUAGAGACUCCAUAUUCUGUUAGUGUCAUAACUUGAAAUAAGAAGAGGCUAAGACAAGUUAUUAAACCGGAUGACCUUUUGGUUCCUGGUACGUAGCCCCCUCCUCGGCUCGAGUUGUCCGCUCGGGUAACUCAGCUUCGUGCCGGAUCCUUAGUAUGAACGUUUGUUUGCAUCAUGUUCAUUUGACUUUGGGGACUAAACACAGAGGUUGGGUCCGUCUAGGACAGGUGUACCCAAAAUAACAGACCAUCUUGAUGCAUUCUAUGUGCUACGUGUUGCAUUUUCCAAGGGUAAAAGGAUCAUUUGACGGACCAAUGAUAGCUGAAGCCAAAUGAAAAAAUAAAAAGAAACAAAAAAGAAAAAAGAGAGGGUGAAGUGUGAACAUAAAGCAAGUGGGACCCAAUUAUACUUUCCGUCACACUUUUGUUAAGAAAAAAAAGAGCUUGAAAAAUUCAAAAAGAUUUUGCACUUUUUAAUUAUUUUUCAAGAAAAAGCAAAAAAAAUGUUUUCUCAAAAUUAGUUGUAUUUAAAAUUUUUGCACGUACCAAAUCUGGCCAAACUAUACAUACCCGAUUCUCGUUUUUUGGGGCGUGAUACAUAGGCAAACCACAUUGGGUCCGAUCUUCUUAGUAAAUCUUAAGUUCUUGGCCUUGCGGGGUCUUGGCCAAAUUUUGCAUUUCUAGCCAUCUUUUGGCCAAAAGAGCCAUUUUGCAAAAAAUAGCAUAAAUCAUGUCUUGUAUGUGUCCAGUAGGGAGUGUUAUUGUCUCACAUUGUGUUUGUUUAAAGUUCACAUACAUGUGUGGAUCUACUUACCGGAGUUUGAGCAUGACAGACACCCCGAGAUCAUCCAAUCAGGAUCAUUCGGGAGUUGCUUAAGGAGAUUUUUCUUUUUAUGUUUUGAGUUUGUUUUUCCUUUUAUGUUUUCUUUUACCUUUUAGUUUUGUAUAGUAAUGUCAAGUUUUAUCAUUAUUAUUGAACUUUCUAUUUUACAAUUGGAACGGUGUGUAAUAAAUUAAAAAUCCACCCAAAAAAAAGAUUUUGCGUUAGGAAUUUUCUUUUUGAGGUAGGUUUUCCUUUAGGUAGUUAAUAUCUACAACUUAAGAUAAAAAUUAGUUUUAUUCUUUCUUUACUAUAUUAGGACCAAAAAUUUAAAAAAAAAUAAAUCUUUUAGUACCUCUUGAAUGUUUUCUUUAAGAUAUCCGAAAAAAGUACUUUGGAGGUUUUUCUUUGAUAAAUCAAUGAAAAUGGAAAAAAAAUCUUUUCUUUUUACUAGAACUAGAACUUUAGGACAUUGUACAUAGAAAAGAAGUUAUAAUUUAUCUUUUGUUUAUCAUUAUAAUUUCUCUUUUAGGCAAUCAAAAUUGAAAUCCAAAAAUAUUUUGUUCAUUGCUCGUUUCGAAAUUUUGCAUUAGGAUAUCAAAUAAAAAUUCAAAAUAUUUUUUCUGUGGUUUAUUCAUUAGAUUUUCUUCCUGACAAAAGGAAUCAAAAAAUAUCUUUCCUCUUCUAUGGAUUUUCCUUAAUAAUUUCCCAUAGAGUGUUUGUUUUAAAAAGAAAAAAGAAGCAAAAACAAUAUAUAUGUUCGUUAUGCUUGAGUUUGGAAUAGGUUAUAGAACGUUAAGUCUAAAAAUUCACAAAAAAGAGAUUUUAUUCUUUUAUUUCUCUUUUCUCAUCAGAGUAGUCAUUAAGGUAAAAAAAAAAGGGGGAGAAUGUCAAUUUGUUUACUUUAUUCCCGUUCUUCCAGAACUACGCAAAGAUCUGAUUCAUGCAGUAUCAUGAUACAUAGGCAUCCUACAUAAGGUUCGAUCGAAUUAUUAUUUUUAUUUAUUAAAAGGAAAAAAGAAAAAAAAAAAGAAGAAAGAAAAAGGGUAUAAUUAUGGGACGUGAGAAAUGGGAGAAAAUAAAAGAGUGAUAAUGAGAAAAAAAGAGGAAAGAAAAUGAUCAUGGAAGUGCUUGAAAAUCAAAGAAAACAGAAGAUUCAAAUGGACAAAUUGGGAUGAUCCCAAGUGACCUUACGACCCUCGAAGUCAUUCUAGAACCAUUAGUUGUUGCGAGGUGGAUUACACGCAAUGUGAUAUUUUUGCUGUUAAAUGCCCUAAUGCUAACAUGAUGACCUAAUUUUGUCCCUUUUGAUAUCUUUGUAGUAGAAAGGUUGUUGGUUUGUGGUUCUCAAAAUAGUAAGUCUUCUCCAGAACAUAAAAAGACAAGGGCGAACAACAACAAAAUUGAGUUGGUUGAUAUGGGUGCCCAAAAGCACAUAUUUGAACAGGACAAUAGGUUGGUUGAAGAGGUAAGGAUGGUAGGACAACACAUGGCUGACAUGCAUGAGGCUUGCAUACUUGGAAGGCACCACCCUCGCCACCACUUACCUUCCUAGAUCCCACCCUUAACCAAACUCCGAUCAUAGUGCCACAUGAUUCCCCAUACUCUUCAGAUUUCCUGCUUAUCAAUGCUUUCCUAACCACCCUAGUAGCUCCGUCACUCAUCCUCCAACCAUCUUUUCCCAAAAGUUCCCUCCUGUCACAUCCACUAUCCCCUACAAUAAACACCCACUCAAAGCUCAUGAUGCCAAAUAUUACCCCUCAAAGGUUGCCCACAAGGCUCUUAACUCAUACAAGAAGGACCCCGGGAUGAGCCUCAUGUUGAAAAUGAAAAGUUCACAGGAAGAGAAGGAUGAGAUAGGAUACCCAGGAGGAUGAAAGGCAUAGAACAAUCCUUAAAGAAUAAGCAAGGAAGAGAAUGAUGAGAUAGGAUACCCAGGAGGACCAGUGCAACAUGGCUUAAAAAGAAUCAUCUGUCUCCAUUGGCGUUCGCUUGCCUGCGGAAUUUAAGUCCCGAAAUUUAAAUUGUAUGAUGGGUGUGGAGAUCCGAUAGAGCACCUGAGGGUUUAUUGCAAUGAUAUGAGAAGUGGUUGAGAACAAGAUAACCUGUUGAUAGCCUAUUUCUGUAGGAGCUUGACUGGGGAAGCUUUGUAAUGGCAUAAUCGUCAAGAUGACGGUAAGUGGUAUACAUUGGGUGACAUGGCUCAAGAUUUUGUUCGAUACGUUCAAUAGAAAUCAAGAAUUACCCUAGAUCACUCCUCCCUAUCUAAAAUGGAAAAGAAGCCAGAGGAAAGAUUUAGGGAGUUUGGACUCAGAUGGAGGGAGCAAGCUGCUCGAGUCAGUACCCCGAUUGGUGCUUUUCCUACAAGACCAGGGGCCCACCUACUUCAGUCUUUUAAUCCCGACCUUGUGAAAGCCUUUCAAUAAUGUGUUAAAAAUGGGGGAGAUGGUAGAAGAGGGAAUCAAGUCAGGCAAAAUCAUGAGUUGCUCCGCAUUGAAAGAUACUACGAAAGACAUUCAGAAUAUCCCAGUAAGUUCGGGAAGAAGAAAGAGAAAUAGAAAAGAUGAUCCGCUGGGCAUUCCUGCUCAACACUUUCAGCCUUGACAUCGGCCCAAUGGAUAUCCUUGCGCACCAGAUGACCCUCCCAAUUGUUACUUCUCUCCACAGAAUUCUCAAAGUCGUACAUCACUUUCCCAGUACCCUGUCCACAAAGCACAACUAUAUGCUCCACACCCACAAGGCCAGCGAUGGUCCACACAACUUCCCCUAAUGUCUUACAUACGAGCCUACUGGAACCCUCCUUGAUCAGGUUCCGACACAAUCUAGCAUUUCAGAACGAGAGGUUGCAGAAAAAAAGAAGACCUUCCGAUAAGUCUUCGAGAGAUGACAAGGAAAGCAAGUAGAGGUGAAUCAUAACAGGGGAAACACUCUGGUCCAAGCAAGAAAAUGAAAGCUGAGAGAAAUAAAAAAUGAGAGAUUCUUAUUGGUGAAAACCUUAACAAGCAUCAUAAGGCGACAGUGAGUUGAGAGAGACUUGAUGGUGUAAAUCCUUCGGGAAAUACAAGUCAAAUAAGGAUCAUGAAUUGGAUUGGAUAAUCAGAGCAUUGAAGUCCAGUUUCACGGAAAAAAGGUACAACAAGAGUUGAACAUCAGACUUUCUUGACAGAAGAGGCCACGGGUGCAUGUCAUGGUCAUUAGAGUUGGUAUCCACAUAUGAUAGGUUUCUACUUUGUAGUCUUCUUGUUAGGAAUCAUCUCUUCCCUUUGUCCUUUACUCUAUUCCUUUUGUCUUGUUUACUUCCUCGUCAUAGUCUGUUGGCCUCAAAAUUAGUCACCAGCUUUCCAAUUGCACAAAACGAGAUCUGGCCAGCACAUCAAAGUGGCAUACAUCAUGAAAGAACAACAAGUGCACUGAGUCGAUAACAAUCAACAUGCUCUGCAAUCCAGGUGAAAUACAAAGGUUUGGUAUUUAUCAAUUCAUGAAUAAUCCAACAGUUGGAGGGUUAUGGUGAACGGAUCAAAGGUAUUUUCUCCAAUAUGAUUGACAAAGAAGGUGGUAAACCAGUGACAAGCAAGAUCUUCCAGGCAGAAAUCAAAUGUUAUCAUGGCAAGAGGUGGAGAAAUAGACCUUAAGGCCAAGGCCAGUGAUUUAAAUCAGGAAAGAACAACAUACACACUGAAGUUGUAAAUAAUCAAUAUGCUUUUCGGAUCAUGUGAAACACAAAGGUUAGGUAGAUGUCACUUCAUGAGCAAUGCAAUAGAUUGAGGAUAUUGAGUCUGAAUGAAGAAGAGGUAUUUUCUGUGAUAAGGGCGACAAAGAAAGUGGUUAGUCAAUAAACAAGUAAGAUCUUCGAGUGGAACUCAGUUAUUAUGGGAAGUGAAGUAGUAAUCGCCCUCAAAGUCAAGGCCACAAACCAACCAUCAUAUUUUUAAACUGACAAGAAUUUUCUUUGAUUUGAAACAGGCACAGAAAGCUUUGGUUGUUUCGGAUAAACCCUCCGUAAGGGAAAAGCAAGCACCAAAUAGGUUUGACAGUAAAUUUUCAGGAUCCUCGGGGAAAAUGGAACCUAGUUUAAAAGUCGAAACAAUCAUAAGUAGCAAAAUCUAGCUGGAAUGUACCCCAAGGAAUAUAAGUUGGUUUCAAAGUUUGCAUGUCUAAGAUAGGAUUCAAUUAUGAGUUUUCAGGACCCUAUUGAAUAAGGAGACAUAGUUUUAUGAUUCUCCUAGAUAACAAGAUUUAGCAUAUGUUGUUCUUUAGGAUAGUAUAAUUCAGCCGUAAAAGUUGUCACUCUCAUGAUAAGACUUGUGUUUUGAUUUUCAAUACCCUCCUAGAUAAUGGGAUGUAGUUUCGAGACCUUCUUAGAUAACAAGAUUUAGCGGAAGUCAUACCUUUAACAUAUAAUUUAGAUUAAAACUGUCGUUUAACUAAGAGUUUUCAGGACACCCCUUGGAUAAUCGGAUCUAGCUUUCAAGUUCUUAGAAUAUUUGGUAACAUGAUUCAGUUUAACACUCACAUAUGUGCCCAGCUACCAAACUGGGGCAGGAAAGUUUCUUUGUUUUAUCUAUUUUUGUUGAAAUCAGGUACCCACUUGGAGAACAGGGAGAAGCAGUUCAAGUUUUGGCAAUCAGGAACCCACGUGGAGAACAAGGGAAUACAACUCAAGUUUUUGGCAAUCAGGAGCCCACUUGGAGAACAAGGGGAUACAGUUCAUGUUUUUGGAAAUUAGGAUCCCACCUGGAGAACAAAGGAAUGCAGUUAAAAUUUUGGCAGUCAGGCGCCCACCUGGAGAACAAGGGGAUAUAGUUAAGGUUGUUAGCAAUCAGGAUCCCACCUGGAGAAUAAGGGAAUACAACUCAAGAUUUUGGCAAUCAAGAUCCCACCUUGAAAACAAGGGGAUAUAGUUCAAGUUUUUGGCAAUCAGGAGCCCACCUGGAGAACAAGGGGAUAUAUUUCAAGUUAUUGGCAAUCAGGAGCCCGCAGAGAGAGGUCGUCCGAUCAGAGGUUCAUUAAGGGUCUAUGAAGAGAUUACUUCGGUCCACGUCCUGUUUUGAUUUUGCUAUUGGAAUUUCUGUUCAGAAUUUUGUUAAGAAUUCUAUUCGAGAUUAUUUUAGGUUCGUCUCUCUGUUUAUUUUCUUUCUCUAUUUUGGCGAUUCAAUGAACACUCUUACAUUGGGCUAUUGAAUGGGUGCAUUUUGUAUGAGUGAUCCUAUUAGGUUCUGUUAUUUAUAGUAAAUAGACAAUUUGUUACUAUUUGAGCGAAGUUCCGUCAAUUAACGAGGGCAG